GGGGGGGGAAGAAAGGGAGGUUGAGAUGUUGGGUUAGUGGGAGACUUGUCAUGUUGUGCCUGUCUCUACUGUUGAAAAUCCUUGUGGUUGACAAAAGCCACCUUUGUUUCAGGCUGUGCGAUAAGAUCGACAUAUCUGAUGCUUCUGUUUAGGUUUUACUGAACCAUGGGCUGCAAUCCCUCCCUUAUUGUUGAUAUUACAGUUAACUCCAAACUGUUGGCCUUGAAAAGCUUGGAAUCCUUAACAGUUCACUAAGCAUAGAAGUUUAUCUUCAAUAUUAUUAAAACAUCUUUUGUUGCUAUGUUUUCAGUUCCUACUCCCAUCAUAAAACCGCCUUAUGAUGUUUGAAAAUUUUUAAGAGUUCUCUAAGCAAAUAAUUCAAUGGAUUGCUUUAGGCUAAAAUGCUGUGCAGUCCUUUAGAUUAGUUUAGAUUCACCUACUAAAUGUUUGCAAGGCUAUAUAAUGAUAUGGAAAUUGCUUUUGCAGGCGUCUGACACUUGCUGCUUCCAAGGAAUUGGUAUGAGAGGAUCCACAUGGUUCUGACAUUGUAUAGAUAUUUUACAUGGCACACCAUCACUCCUACCAAAGGGAACUAAGCAAGUCGUGAGGACACGAUUUUUUUUGCCAUUUGGCAGCACCUGUGGGUUUAAUUGCUUCAUGGCUUCAUGUUAGGUGACAAGAUUAGAGAAGAUGUUGGCAUUCUACGAGAGGAGAUUAAAGAAUGAAGCUGUGUGAUUAGCAUAUAAUCUAAUGCCAUGGCCGGGUGCAGAAUGUUUUAUUUUAUCAAUCAGAUGUGCCAAGAUCAGGUAGUGCAUUAUUUACCUGAUGAAAUAUUUCGAGUUUAUUUCGCUACGUUUGACUCAGGUUGUUCAAGUUUCAAGAUAUAUACUAUCUUUGCUUGGUUAAAAUUAUUGAUAUAUUUUUCUGUAAAGUGGUAACCAAAGUUUGGAUGGAUUUUGAACUAUUAUUUUAGUUGUUUA